GACGAACGCUGGCGGCGUGCUUAACACAUGCAAGUCGAGCGGUAAGGCCCUUUCGGGGGUACACGAGCGGCGAACGGGUGAGUAACACGUGGGUGACCUGCCCUCAGCUCUGGGAUAAGCCUGGGAAACUGGGUCUAAUACUGGAUAUGACUCCAUGACGCAUGUUGUGGGGUGGAAAGCCUUGUGCGGCUGAGGAUGGGCCCGCGGCCUAUCAGCUUGUUGGUGGGGUGAUGGCCUACCAAGGCGACGACGGGUAGCCGGCCUGAGAGGGCGACCGGGCCACACUGGGACUGAGACACGGCCCAGACUCCUACGGGAGGCAGCAGUGGGGAAUCUUGCGCAAUGGGCGAAAGCCUGACGCAGCGACGCCGCGUGAGGGAUGACGGCCU
rnacentral:rRNA from 1 species